rnacentral:piRNA from 1 species
UACCACAUAAUAGGAAAUCUUGUUUGUU